GAUGAAGAACGCAGCGAAAUGCGAUAAGUAAUGCGAAUUGCAGAAUUUCCGUGAGUCAUCGAAUCUUUGAACGCACAUUGCGCCCCUUGGUAUUCCAUGGGGCAUGCCUGUUCGAGCGUCAUUUGUACCCUCAAGCUCUGCUUGGUGUUGGGCGUUUUAGUCUCGCGUUGCGUGUAGACUCGCCUUAAAGACAUUGGCAGCCGGCACAUUGGCCUUGGAGCGCAGCACAUUUUGCGCACCUAGUCAGUAGUUGUUGGCGUCCAUUAAGCCUAUACAUUUGCUCUUGACCUCGGAUCAGGUAGGGAUACCCGCUGAACUUAAGCAUAUCAAUAAGCGGAGGA
rnacentral:misc_RNA from 1 species